CUUAAUUUUUUAAAACAUUUCUUUAAAAUAACGAAUUUUUGAAUUACUAUAGAAAUCAAUUAAAAAAAAAUUAAGAAUAAAUGUUAAUUGGUUAAAAAUGUAAGUUAUAUAUGUGUAAUAAGUCUAUACAUAUAUAAAUUAUUAAAAAAUUAAGUGAAAAAAAUGAAUUAAAAAAAUAUAAGUAUUUUAUUAAAUAGACUAAAAUCGAUUAAACAGUGAAUGUCCACUCAAGAGCGCUUAUGUGACAUGUCUAAACAAAAAUAUAUACAUUACAACACACGUAUAUGUAUAUAUAAAUAUAUAUACUAGAAAAAUAUAUACAAGAUAGUGAGGUCUAGUACUUAAUAACAAUUGCAAACAAGAUGUUUAGUGAAAUGUAAUAAAAAUGUACACUACAAUAUUUUAAAAAAUUAAUAAUUUUUUAAAUAUUAAAAAAAAAUAAUACAUUUAAAAUAUUACGAUAAAAUGUUGUUUAUAAACUUAAUAUCUUUUUUAAUUAUUUGUUCAUCAGUAUAAUUUCUGUAAAAAAGAAAAAGGAUAAAAAGAAAAAAUGGGCAAAUAUAAAGAAAAAUAAAUAAAUGGUAAACUAUUUUAUUUUGCAUAUUUUUUAUUAUAUUUUUUUUUUAACGUUGAGUAAAUCAUCCUGUAGUCAUAGAUCCAUAACAUUGGGAUUUUGUUAGGUUUUAUAAUGUCAUCGUUUAAAAAAUCUUUCAUAUUGUGCUAUUAAAUAUAUAUAGAAAAAGUUAAUAAAGUUAGUAUGAGAAAGCGAAACAAAAGUGUACAUAUAUAUAUAUAUAUAUAUAUAUAAGUACUAAUAUAAAUAAAUAUAUCUUCGUUUUAAUUAUUUGCUUUACAUUUGCAAUGGAUUUCAAAUCACUUCGUAACGUUGAUAGAGAGUGCAGAAUGCUAUGUUUGUUUUUCUAUAAUAAAAUUAAUGAUUAUAUAAGAAAGCGCGAAAUAUAUUGAAGAUAUUAUUAAUUGUGUAUAUAUAUAUAUGCACACAUAAAUAUAUAUACAUUACAUACAAACUUACAAAUUUUUCAAAAAUAAAGUUGUUUUUUCUUUCUGUUGACCAUUUGCUAUUUUCACAAUUUCCUAUAGGUUUUAUAUUUGACACAUCAGUAGAUUGUUUGGUAAUGGUGCCAUUUUCCCACUCGAAUAAAAUAUGUUCCUCGGAAUUU
rnacentral:lncRNA from 1 species